GAUGAACGCUGGCUACAGGCUUAACACAUGCAAGUCGAGGGGAAACGACGGGGAAGCUUGCUUCCCCGGGCGUCGACCGGCGCACGGGUGAGUAACGCGUAUCCAACCUGCCUCUGACUGAGGGAUAACCCGUCGAAAGUCGGCCUAAUACCUCAUGGUAUCGUCUGCGGGCAUCCAACGACGAUUAAAGAUUUCAUCGGUCAGGGAUGGGGAUGCGUCUGAUUAGCUUGUUGGCGGGGUAAUGGCCCACCAAGGCUACGAUCAGUAGGGGUUCUGAGAGGAAGGUCCCCCACAUUGGAACUGAGACACGGUCCAAACUCCUACGGGAGGCAGCAGUGAGGAAUAUUGGUCAAUGGGCGAGAGCCUGAACCAGCCAAGUAGCGUGCAGGAAGACGGCCCUAUGGGUUGUAAACUGCUUUUAUGCGGGGAUAAAGUGAGGGGCGUGUCCCUCAUUGCAGGUACCGCAUGAAUAAGGACCGGCUAAUUCCGUGCCAGCAGCCGCGGUAAUACGGAAGGUCCUGGCGUUAUCCGGAUUUAUUGGGUUUAAAGGGAGCGUAGGCCGUGGAUUAAGCGUAUUGUGAAAUGCAGGUGCUCAACGUCUGCACUGCAGCGCGAACUGGUCCACUUGAGUGUGCGCGACGCAGGCGGGAAUUUUUUCGUGUAGCGGUGAAAUGCUUAGAUAUGACGAAAGAACUCCAUUGCGAAGGCAGCUUGCGGGAGCACAACUGACGCUAAAGCUCGAAAGUGUGGGUA
rnacentral:rRNA from 1 species